CAGAACAGCCUGGAGGCAGCUGCUAUGGGAAGUCCCUGUGGUUUCAGUGGAUCCGGGAAACUGCGUCACUAGAGUGUGGGCUCCCUGGGGAAGGGAGGAGCCUUUCCUGGAGGAAGAACUUUCAAUAACCCUUCUGCUGUGUCCCCUGUCUCCAUGGAAAUGGCUGAGGCCCAAACAAAGUCAGCUUUCUUGGGGAAGGGAGGGCUGACCCAUCAGCAAAGAGUCUCAGCUAUGUGCUGUGGCAUUUCAACAAGGAACCAUGUCACUGGCAUCCCAUCUGGGUGAGGGGAGUGGCUAGGGUAAUUAGCUGGCAGCCAAGGGCAGGCCGGCUGGGAGGGUCUAAGAACAAGACUCAGUGUCCAGACUGCAAGAGACUUCAGAGUUCAUCUGGGACGCAGGAGGGACAGGACUUGCCCAAGGCCACACAAUAUCUAGUUGCGGAGUUGGGCUGCCCGAUUGGCCGUGAUGGGCUGACUGGACGCUGGCUGCAGUGGGUGUUUGCCUAUGGCUCUCAAGGUUCUUCUCACCCAGCUUGACCUGCAAAAAACUAGUUCUGUCCUCCAAGGCCCUGGCACGUCAGUCAGAAAUGCCAUCACUAUUUAAUUUCCUUUCCUGAGAAGUGCAGGGCUUUGCUUCAGGGGUUGAGAGCCGGCACGACAGGACUGCAGUUUCACGCAGGUCCUGGGAGCCUGUUGCAUCAUCCCGGGAUGCAGUUUAAAGGAAAAUGAUCCUACAGCAUCUCACUCCUUGUGCAUAACUCCAAGUUAUGCACUUGGUUAGAAAGCUCCAAGUUAUCAUUACAAGCUUAAUUUGUGUGGUUAGAGGACCACCAGCUGCCUAAACUUACUCCAUAAUGAUAACAUCUCAUGAUUGCAUUGUCAUUUACGAAAGAUUUUCACACCCAUCCCAGGAAGUAGGCAGAGUAGUUAUCAUGAGGAAACUGAGGCUCAGAAGCACAGUGGCAGGGCUGGGGCUAGAAUCUGAGCUCCAGUGACUGAAUGAAGGACGAGAUCUCAAGCCAUCGGAGACUCUGGGAAAGGAGACUCCCCUAGAGUUUGGAAGAUGAGGAGGGAGGAGGAAGAUGCAUGUCUGAGGCUGUCUGGGCUGUAGGCACAGAAUUCACUUGCUUUGCUCAUUUGUCUCAUCUGUUCUGUCUCCUUCUGCUUCCUCCCUUUCUUUGUGCGAGCUGUGAAAAUCAUGGAACACACACCAUGUGCCAAAUCAUGAAGCCCCAGAAGUCGUCCCAUUAAAGUUAGGAACAUGAUGUGUCCAUGAUCACAAUCACUACUAGAUAAUGGCCAUGAGGCAUAGCUGAUGGGCUUAGAAAGGAGGAUGUGAAUGUUACAGAGGAGGAGGCAAACUUAUUAUAUAUAGAUAUGGCGAUGCUCACAACAGGAUAUUUCAUUGAAAACACUGCUAACAUUUCAUUUCAUUUAAAAACACUGCUAACAAUAGAAUGCAGUAAGGCAUCUGGGUAACAAAAUCAGUGUCUUCCCACAUCAUAAGCAGACAAGAAUAAAACAAGGAAAAAGUGUAUCUACA
rnacentral:lncRNA from 13 species